rnacentral:rRNA from 1 species
UACGUAGGGUGCGAGCGUUAAUCGGAAUUACUGGGCGUAAAGUGUGCGCAGGCGGCCGCGCAAGUCGAGUGUGAAAGCCCCGAGCUUAACUUGGGAACUGCGCUCGAAACUACGUGGCUGGAGUGUGGCAGAGGAAGGUGGAAUUCCAGGUGUAGCGGUGAAAUGCGUAGAGAUCUGGAGGAACACCGAUGGCGAAGGCAG